CCCAAUCCCUCACACUUCCCUCACACUCACGCCUUCAUCUCUCCCCGUUUAAAAGCUGAAGUGCUUCUUGCCUGGUACUUUUCCCACGAAGCCGUUGGAUAGCAGCCUUGGUGGAGGAGAUAUGAGAGCUGCUUUGUGUCUCUGGAAAGCCGUGUAAGGAUGAGCAGCCACUGGGAAUUGCCCCCCUUUUCCCCGCCGGUGCCAUCGGUUUUGUGCUCAGUGCCCUCUGGAGGUCUUGGACACGCAGUGACCCGAGCGAGUCCCGGCUUCGCGGCUGUGCCUGAGCUCCUCAGGACUCCUUGCUUCAAAGGAACCUACAGGGAAGAGGCUGUGAAGUAUUUGCUGUCAGGACUGAAUUCUGUGUUCACCCAGUCAAGGAGUAGAAGCAUAUUCCAGGUAUG